GAAACCCGGUGAUCUAGCCAUGGGCAGGUUGAAGGUUGGGUAACACUAACUGGAGGACCGAACCGACUAAUGUUGAAAAAUUAGCGGAUGACUUGUGGCUGGGGGUGAAAGGCCAAUCAAACCGGGAGAUAGCUGGUUCUCCCCGAAAGCUAUUUAGGUAGCGCCUCGUGAAUUCAUCUCCGGGGGUAGAGCACUGUUUCGGCAAGGGGGUCAUCCCGACUUACCAACCCGAUGCAAACUGCGAAUACCGGAGAAUGUUAUCACGGGAGACACACGGCGGGUGCUAACGUCCGUCGUGAAGAGGGAAACAACCCAGACCGCCAGCUAAGGUCCCAAAGUCAUGGUUAAGUGGGAAACGAUGUGGGAAGGCCCAGACAGCCAGGAUGUUGGCUUAGAAGCAGCCAUCAUUUAAAGAAAGCGUAAUAGCUCACUGGUCGAGUCGGCCUGCGCGGAAGAUGUAACGGGGCUAAACCAUGCACCGAAGCUGCGGCAGCGACACUAUGUGUUGUUGGGUAGGGGAGCGUUCUGUAAGCCUGUGAAGGUGGCC
rnacentral:rRNA from 1 species